AUCAUCACCAAACCUAGACUCUGCUGUAUCAAACCAUACAUGGGCAUUUAUAGAUACACUUUAUUUGCUGCCUUGAAACCUUGGGCUCAGUAGGUUGUUGUUUUUUUAAGAAUCAUGCUGUAAACCAAAACCCAUCAUUCAGUUUUUCAGAAGGAUUAUCCAUUUUGGAUCCAAGUGGCAGGUUUUGAUUGUUGAAUUUUUAUUUAAAAUAAGCAGUACGUUCACAUGGGAAAAAAAUCCGAACAUAAAAAAGUCUCUCUUCGACUCCUGCGCUUCAUCUCGCAUUUCUUCUCUCCAGAGGUAACAGCUGUUCACAGUUUUCUGGAUAUCUUUAGAGAUAUUCUAGCA
rnacentral:lncRNA from 1 species